CAACUCUACUUCAGUAAAAAUUAAAAAAAAAAAAAAGUAAGUUUGAGAUGUGACUGGGAGGGACUCAAUCAGAAAGGCCUCGCCUUUUGGAUGAAGGACCCCACAGGGAAGAGUGGGAAAAGGAACAGAAAGAGAAGGUCGGCAUUCAUGGAGUGCCUAUGGUGUGCACGCUGCCAAGCACUGAGUCCUGAAACUUCACGGAUCUUCCCAACAACCUGAGAGAAAGCCAUUCUCCAAUCUGCAGACGAGAGGGCCUGACCUCAAGAAGACUUCCAAGCACAAAAGGAUCACCAUCAAGGAGAAGAAAGUCAUGGACACAGCUAAAGAUGACAAGGUUCAUCUUUUUGCACCAAUUCCUGCAGAUUCUUCUCUGUGGUGGUGAGAUGGGACUACCAGCUCCAGACUCACAUCCCAGAGACCUCAGAAAACAGAAAGCAUGCCUCUUUCCCAUGAAUUCCAGCAGACAUCCCCAGAUCAACUCUUCAGUUCAGUUCAGUUCAGUCGCUCAGUCAUGUCCGACUCUUUGCGACCCCAUGAACCACAGCAUGCCAGGCCUCCCUGUCCAUCACCAGCUCC